CCAAUAGCGUAUAUUAAAGUUGUUGCAGUUAAAAAGCUCGUAGUUGAAUUUCGGGAUCAAUAUUUCGGUCAUGCCGUUGGUAUGCACUGUUAUCAUUGAUUUCUCACCUUCUAAAGAACCGUAAUGCCAUUAAUUUGGUGUUACGGGGAAUUAGGACUGUUACCUUGAAAAAAUUAGAGUGUUUAAAGCAGGCUCACGCUUGAAUACAUUAGCAUGGAAUAAUGAAAUAGGACAUCCGAUUCUAUUUUGUUGGUUUCUAGGAUCGAUGUAAUGAUUAAUAG
rnacentral:rRNA from 1 species